UGGGGAAUAUUGCACAAUGGGCGCAAGCCUGAUGCAGCCAUGCCGCGUGUAUGAAGAAGGCCUUCGGGUUGUAAAGUACUUUCAGCGGGGAGGAAGGGAGUAAAGUUAAUACCUUUGCUCAUUGACGCUACCCGCAGAAGAAGCACCGGCUAACUCCGUGCCAGCAGCCGCGGUAAUACGGAGGGUGCAAGCGUUAAUCGGAAUUACUGGGCGUAAAGCGCACGCAGGCGGUCUGUCAAGUCGGUUGUGAAAUCCCCGGGCUCAACCUGGGAACUGCAUUCGAAACUGGCAGGCUAGAGUCUUGUAGAGGGGGGUAGAAUUCCAGGUGUAGCGGUGAAAUGCGUAGAGAUCUGGAGGAAUACCGGUGGCGAAGGCGGCCCCCUGGACAAAGACUGACGCUCAGGUGCGAAAGCGUGGGGAGCAAACAGG
rnacentral:rRNA from 1 species